rnacentral:rRNA from 1 species
GGGACACGUGGUAUCCUGUCUGAAUAUGGGGGGACCAUCCUCCAAGGCUAAAUACUCCUGACUGACCGAUAGUGAACCAGUACCGUGAGGGAAAGGCGAAAAGAACCCCGGCGAGGGGAGUGAAAAAGAACCUGAAACCGUGUACGUACAAGCAGUGGGAGCCUCUUAAUGGGGUGACUGCGUACCUUUUGUAUAAUGGGUCAGCGACUUAUAUUCUGUAGCAAGGUUAACCGAAUAGGGGAGCCGAAGGGAAACCGAGUCUUAACUGGGCGUUAAGUUGCAGGGUAUAGACCCGAAACCCGGUGAUCUAGCCAUGGGCAGGUUGAAGGUUGGGUAACACUAACUGGAGGACCGAACCGACUAAUGUUGAAAAAUUAGCGGAUGACUUGUGGCUGGGGGUGAAAGGCCAAUCAAACCGGGAGAUAGCUGGUUCUCCCCGAAAGCUAUUUAGGUAGCGCCUCGUGAAUUCAUCUCCGGGGGUAGAGCACUGUUUCGGCAAGGGGGUCAUCCCGACUUACCAACCCGAUGCAAACUGCGAAUACCGGAGAAUGUUAUCACGGGAGACACACGGCGGGUGCUAACGUCCGUCGUGAAGAGGGAAACAACCCAGACCGCCAGCUAAGGUCCCAAAGUCAUGGUUAAGUGGGAAACGAUGUGGGAAGGCCCAGACAGCCAGGAUGUUGGCUUAGAAGCAGCCAUCAUUUAAAGAAAGCGUAAUAGCUCACUGGUCGAGUCGGCCUGCGCGGAAGAUGUAACGGGGCUAAACCAUGCACCGAAGCUGCGGCAGCGACACUAUGUGUUGUUGGGUAGGGGAGCGUUCUGUAAGCCUGUGAAGGUGUACUGUGAGGUAUGCUGGAGGUAUCAGAAGUGCGAAUGCUGACAUAAGUAACGAUAAAGCGGGUGAAAAGCCCGCUCGCCGGAAGACCAAGGGUUCCUGUCCAACGUUAAUCGGGGCAGGGUGAGUCGACCCCUAAGGCGAGGCCGAAAGGCGUAGUCGAUGGGAAACAGGUUAAUAUUCCUGUACUUGGUGUUACUGCGAAGGGGGGACGGAGAAGGCUAUGUUGGCCGGGCGACGGUUGUCCCGGUUUAAGCGUGUAGGCUGGUUUUCCAGGCAAAUCCGGAAAACCAAGGCUGAGGCGUGAUGACGAGGCACUACGGUGCUGAAGCAACAAAUGCCCUGCUUCCAGGAAAAGCCUCUAAGCAUCAGGUAACAUCAAAUCGUACCCCAAACCGACACAGGUGGUCAGGUAGAGAAUACCAAGGCGCUUGAGAGAACUCGGGUGAAGGAACUAGGCAAAAUGGUGCCGUAACUUCGGGAGAAGGCACGCUGAUAUGUAGGUGAAGCGACUUGCUCGUGGAGCUGAAAUCAGUCGAAGAUACCAGCUGGCUGCAACUGUUUAUUAAAAACACAGCACUGUGCAAACACGAAAGUGGACGUAUACGGUGUGACGCCUGCCCGGUGCCGGAAGGUUAAUUGAUGGGGUUAGCGGUAACGCGAAGCUCUUGAUCGAAGCCCCGGUAAACGGCGGCCGUAACUAUAACGGUCCUAAGGUAGCGAAAUUCCUUGUCGGGUAAGUUCCGACCUGCACGAAUGGCGUAAUGAUGGCCAGGCUGUCUCCACCCGAGACUCAGUGAAAUUGAACUCGCUGUGAAGAUGCAGUGUACCCGCGGCAAGACGGAAAGACCCCGUGAACCUUUACUAUAGCUUGACACUGAACAUUGAGCCUUGAUGUGUAGGAUAGGUGGGAGGCUUUGAAGUGUGGACGCCAGUCUGCAUGGAGCCGACCUUGAAAUACCACCCUU